rnacentral:lncRNA from 1 species
GAAUGGAAAAAUUAACUCUUACAACUCAUUUCGUUAGAAUUUACAUUUUUUACAUGAAUAAGAAAAUGUUUAGAAUUCUAUCCUACAUUUUACCACCGUUAAUUAAAGAAUCCAAUAAGGCAUAUGAAUUAAGGUCCAACAGAGUGGGAGUUGUCUGUUGUUGUGACUGAAAUAAUAACAUUACAAAAAUAAAAUAAAAAUAAAAAACAUGAAACUAAGACAAACAUUUCUAACAUGAAAAAAUCGUUAUUGGAAAAAAAUUAAUUAUAUAUUAAUCCGUAGAAAAUAAAGAACAAUUGGAAAAAUAAAAUUGAUUAGGUGUUGAAAGUUGAAGCUCCAAUAAACAAAUGGGACACUCCCUUUAUAAGUAACUACUACUUCAUAUCUCGUGAUAAUAUAUGUCUAGUAGCAGUAGUUAACAAGCCCAAUUGCAAUCGGACCCACGAUGCAGCCCAACAAAUUUGGUAAUGACACAGAGGCCGCUCCAGCUGGGCCUGGUGCUGGAGAUGCCGACGAUCCUCCGGCCAUGGCAGCACCAGCGGCAGAGUCCAUCAUGGGGCUAGAUGCGGGAGAGUCACCUGCUGGGGCUCCAGCUCCAGCGGCCGUCUCGUUCUUUGCUCCGGCGGCAGCUGUAUCGUUAGUGGCAGGUGCGGUGUCACCGGCCGGGGUGAAGCGGGGUGGGCAGAGCGAAGACAGCCACGAAGGCAACCAAGAGGGCAACAGCCAACGUCAAUUUCAUCGACCCUUCCAUUGUUAUAUGAAUUGAUUGUGUGUUUGAAAAAUUAAAACUUUUGAAGCUCUGAAAAAUGGAGAAUGAAGAAACCGGUGGAGUGAUGAUAGAUUGAGGGAGAAUGGAGAGGGA